rnacentral:rRNA from 1 species
UACAGAGGGGGCAAGCGUUGUUCGGAAUUACUGGGCGUAAAGAGCGCGCAGGCGGUCGUUCAAGUCGCGUGUGAAAGCCCCCGGCUCAACUGGGGAGGGUCACGCGAUACUGAUCGACUCGAAGGCAGGAGAGGGUAGUGGAAUUCCCGGUGUAGUGGUGAAAUGCGUAGAUAUCGGGAGGAACACCAGUGGCGAAGGCGACUACCUGGCCUGUUUCUUGACGCUGAGGCGCGAAAGCUAGGGGAGCAAACGGGG